GGCUGUGGCAAAGUCACUGACAAGUCAUGCUUCCCCAGAACUCCUUCUCUCCUAAACAAACUGCGAUCACCUCAACAAAACAGGGAUUUGUAACACUUCAAAGACAAAAAUGGGUUCUCUUACUGUCCUGAAUGAAGCUUGCAGAUUCAGCUAGCCUGGCUGACCAGAAAGUCCUAAGGAUCAUCCUGUCUCUGCCUUCUCGGUGCUGGAAUUAAAAGUGAAUGCCACAAUGCCCAGUUUUCUACAUUAGUUCUGGGGAUCACACUCAGAUCUUCAUGGUUGCAAAAAUCUUCAUCUGGUGAUGGAUAGAGAUCGAGACAGUGACCCACACAGGAGCACUGGACUG